GCUAGGACGUAAUGGCCAAAAACGCGAUGGGAUAAGUGUCCGCGUUUCCUUAUGCCGAUGCUACGGUUUGAGGCUUGGAAGAUGCUGCAAGGGCAGAUGACUCGAGAAUGCUCGUACCCGAAUAAAUCGUGUGAGAGCCGACGGAUGUCAUAAGAACUAUGUCAUUACCAGGCUUCAGCUGAUCUACAGUCCUCUUGACAGACAGGCACGUACUAUUUCGACGAUUUCAAAGUGGGGGGGUUAACCCUAGGAUUACAGAGAAUAUGUAUGGAGCACGGGCAGAUAUAUAUGAUACCCGGAGCAACUACGACGUACUUCGGUGCCAAUUCGUGGUUACAGAUGAUCCAUUGACAUUAAUAUUUACCUCCAAAAAAAUAAAAUAAACUGCAUAUAUCCUCAGGAACCAUAUCCCUCUUAUCUUCAGUCCCCGUGGGAGAUCAUCUUUUGCUUAUUAGUUAAUCUUUGCCGCAACUCCUGUUCCCAGUCUAAAGGAAAUAUUCUGUCAGUGGAGUCCAUUCCAUAUUCAUACUUGCAGAGGCCUCCAGAUGCCAAAAGGCUGGUUGGACAAAGAACGAUCAUGGGAUUUCUGGAAUUUUAAAACUCACCCUUCAUCCACUUCUUCACAAAUUUGACUUCCUGUGCCUGUGCGUCUGCUACGGCCUUGGGAGGGAGCAUUGGUGUGCUUUCAUUCGCAAGCAUUCCAUUCUCAUCCCCUUCAAACAUCGAGCAGUUCUCAUCAACAGCGAUCCUAAAGAAACUCAAAACAGAAACAGGACGUGGAAAGCAUAACUCACAAUGAUGUCCAGCCCCCUCGAUCAAAAUAAACGGCUUUUCGAGCGUGCUUUUCCGUGGCCUAGCCAUUUCGGAAUGGGGUGUUGCUGGGCGCCAGGGGUCGACUUCCCCGUCAAUGAAGGCCAGCCGCUCAUAUUCAAUGUCGAACCCGCCAUAUUUGUUGACUCUAUUAACGUCCGAAGGUCUGUAGAUACCAAAGGCUUCUCGGCACAUUAUGCUGGCGUACUCGAGGUCGAUCAGGCGUGAGACCAUGGGCAUUUGAUCCUGGGGGACCGUGCUGCCGACCUGGAGGAAGCCCCAUCUAUGAGCAAGGAAGUAGAUCAAGAUAGAGUCAGUCUGGGUACCCAGAUAUUAAAUCCAAGGUUCUACCUGGUUUCGUUCCUUUUCUCGCAUCUGAUCCAGAAAAAUCUCCAAGAAAUGCGGGCCGGGGUUUCACUUACUCCGUGCACACCUGAUAUGGCCAGCACCGAUUAUCAGCCUGUGCAAGGCUAUCAUUCUUAAACCACGCCAUAUCAUGUUGCCCAAGACAUUCAUCCAUUGUCUGUUCAGUCUCUUUGCAGUAGACCAGUU
rnacentral:sRNA from 1 species